GGCUUCCCAGGGAACUGGUCACAGCACCAAGUCUGCUGGAAUUCAAGAGGCAUUCGGGCAAUGCUCUCAGACGUGUGACUUGAUAGUUGGAUGGUCCUGGGUAGACCUAGGAGUUGCACUCAAUGAUCCUCAUGGAUCCCUUCCAACUCAGGAUAGCCUGCUAUUCUAUGUGCGGAUGGCUUUUCACUGUCUCUAUUUAGUUCUUCAACGUUCACCAGGAGACGUUCUUUUCACCUUGAUAAUUUACCCCAAAGCAAUUCAAGAAAUAGCAUUUCUAUCUGAAGGAGUAAGAGCAAGUAUGUUUUGCGUCACAUAUUAAGAGAAGACGCAAUUUGUCGCUGGUUUAGGGAGCUUAUGUGUGACAUGAUAAGUCUUCUCAUGUCCAAGAGCUGCAAGGACCUUCACACAAACUUAGAGAUGCGAUGCCAGAGGGACUGCUGUGAUGCAGCUGUGACGCCGUGACAGCACAAAGGGCAGGUCACAGCGGGGGAGCUGUCAUCAGGGCCAGCAGCAGGCAGCGCCACCCCACUGUGGCCUGGGCCGUCGGUGAGUGCAGCUUGCACCUCCUGCUGGCUAUGGCUCGUCUGAUCUUCCUCGCCCUGGCUGUGCUGGGCAUUGCCCAGAAGCCGUGGUUGGUGGAUGAUCACAUGGAUGCAGAUACGCAAGAGAGAAUGCAACAGCAUGCAGAGCAGCUGAGUCAGGGCAUGGCUCGGCUGCUGCGAGAGAUGGAGCAGAGGAGACUGGAGCAGAGUCGGGGGGUCCUGGGAGCUCUGCUCUUCACUGCCUUGCAGCAGUGGCACCUCUGGACCUUGCUUGACCUCCUUGUGCUGCUCUUUGGGCUCUGCCGGUGGCUCAAGAAAAGGAGCCGUGAGCCGGGCAGCUGCAGCAAGCAAGGCAGCUCUACAAGAAAGAAGAAGGACAACGGUGAUGCGGACCAAGACGGUGACUUGGACGACACCUGGGAUCUGGGCAGGGUUUGGGCUGAUUGCACCCAGUGGCCGGUGCUGUCCAUGGCUGACAAGUGCAAGGUGGUGGAGGAGCUGGUGGACGAACUUCUUGGGGCCUGCCGAGGACGCGAGUGCACCCUCUAUACAUUCGCAGAUAACACUAAGUUAGAUGCAUGUAACCAGAGUUUUGGCCAGCUGCACCAAUGAAUCAGGAAUAACAUUAAUUCUAUAUAUACAGAAAAGACAGGUACAAUUUAAUAUGGACUACUUGGUCUGAAUUCUGGUUCUGCAGGUAUGUCUGACAGAAAUCAUUCCUAUUUCCUUCUCAGAAUGUUGCAAAAGAAUUUUACCC
rnacentral:lncRNA from 1 species